CUCACCAGGUCCUGGACCGCCGAGGAGCGCCAGGCCCGCGGCUGGGCGGCAGAACGCCGGCGGUGCCCGGGUCUCUCGCGGGUUCGCGGGGCCGGAAGGGACGGGGAGGGGCGGGAGCAGUACCGCAGGGCGCCGCGCCCAUCACCGCGCUGGGAGCCGGGAGGCGGGCGCGGAGGCGGCGGGACGGCGGCGCCCGGCUCUGCUGUCAGCGCGGGACGUCGGGUGCCUCAGGGAACACCCGGGCCGGGCUCUGGCGGGGCCGCGCCUCCCGCCCCUCUCCUGGCACCGCCCCGCGCGCUGCGCCGGACCCCGCGCUCGGCCGCUCCCGGCUGUGCGGCCCCGCGCCCCGCGCCUCCUUCGCCUGAACAGGGCUGCCCCGGGGGGUCUCGGCGGCGGAGAGGCAAGAAAGACGCCCAUGCUCCAGUUCCCAAGAGCAGGAAUUAUGUCUGAGAUUUUACCCUGGACUUUCCCCGGAUCUCUCAUUCUCUACAGCCAGACCCUUUCCUGUGGAACAUACAGAAAGUGUAUCCCCAAGCCCUCAGCUGCCAGGCACAAAAGGUUUAACAUCUUCUACCAAGGCCUGCCCUAUUUACCUCAAAAAGAACUAAGAAUGCUGCUUUCCUGAAAAAACAAACACACAAACCUCCGCGGCCGCCCCCGACCCCCUCCGUAAGCCCCCUCUGCAAGUGGAAUACAGUCUGAACUACUUUCACAGUUGGAAACCAGCUUACCAUUCUAACCUUCUAUCUGCUCAACACCUGUGUUCCAGUUAUACUGUGUUGGGCCAAUUGCCAUUCUUUGAAUAUAUCCUGGAUGUUUAAUGCCCCUGUGUGAUUUGCUCACUCUGUUCAUUUAUUCUGGAUUUCUCUUCAUCCCCAUCUUUACCUGUUGAAUUGUUCCCAAACCUUCAAGAGCCUACUGAGAUGCCUUCUUCUUUAACAAUGUUCUUCCAGAAAUUCCCAGUCAAAUCUGAGAGAUCAAUUAACUUCUCUUUCCCAACAUUCUGUGCUUCUAUUACAACACUUACUAAGUUGGUCUGUAUGUUACAGCUGGCUGUGUCCUCUUGGCUCCCCACUGUCAUAGCCUGCAAGGCAUAAUAUGUUUCUGACUCAACUUAAAUCCCAUGGCAAUUGGCAACAUGCGUUUUAAAAUGAAUAACCAUCCUUUGGAUGUAUAUAAACUUUGCUUAUUGUAAAAAUUCAAAUAAAUAAAAGUAUAAGGAAGGAAAUAAACCAACACACUGAAAUAACCACUGUUAAUGUUUUGAUGAUCAUAUUUUCAUGUAUAUAUUUAUGCAUAUGUCCAUCCAUCAUUUAUCCACAAAUGGAAUUAUCUCAUGUAUGUUAUGUUUAGGAUACACCCUUUUUUAUUAUUCUCUUUUCUUACCUGACUCUUCCCUCACUGUUCCCCCUCUCAACUAUUUUAAAAAAGUUAAGCAUGUUAAUAUAACCAUAUAUAUGUGUAUUUUACAAAGUGAGGAAUCAUAGUGUAAACCCUUCUCUGCUUCUUGCUUUCCUCAUUAAACAAUGUCAUAAAAAUCCUUCCAGUUUAACUGGUAUAGCACUGAUUCAUUCUUUUAUUUUAGAGGCUGCAUAAUGUUCCACAGUAUGGAUGUACCAAAAUUAACUCAAUUCUUAAAAAAUUUCCACUGGCACCAGUGUUUAAAUAAACAUCCUUUAUG
ensembl:lncRNA